AUUGAACGCUGGCGGCAGGCCUAACACAUGCAAGUCGAGCGGAUGAAGGGAGCUUGCUCCUGGAUUCAGCGGCGGACGGGUGAGUAAUGCCUAGGAAUCUGCCUGGUAGUGGGGGAUAACGUCCGGAAACGGGCGCUAAUACCGCAUACGUCCUGAGGGAGAAAGUGGGGGAUCUACGGACCUCACGCUAUCAGAUGAGCCUAGGUCGGAUUAGCUAGUUGGUGGGGUAAAGGCCUACCAAGGCGACGAUCCGUAACUGGUCUGAGAGGAUGAUCAGUCACACUGGAACUGAGACACGGUCCAGACUCCUACGGGAGGCAGCAGUGGGGAAUAUUGGACAAUGGGCGAAAGCCUGAUCCAGCCAUGCCGCGUGUGUGAAGAAGGUCUUCGGAUUGUAAAGCACUUUAAGUUGGGAGGAAGGGCAGUAAGUUAAUACCUUGCUGUUUGGACGUUACCAACAGAAUAGGCACCGGCUAACUUCGG
rnacentral:rRNA from 1 species